rnacentral:rRNA from 1 species
CGCGUAGGUGGUUCAGUCAGUCAGAUGUGAAAGCCCCGGGCUCAACCUGGGAACUGCACCUGAUACUGCUGAGCUAGAGUACGGUAGAGGGCAGUGGAAUUUCCGGUGUAGCGGUGAAAUGCAUAGAGAUCGGAAGGAACACCAGUGGCGAAGGCGACUGCCUGGACUGAUACUGACACUGAGGUGCGAAAGCGUGGGUAGCAAACA